rnacentral:rRNA from 1 species
GACGAACGCUGGCGGCGUGCUUAACACAUGCAAGUCGAACGGAAAGGCCCUGCUUGCAGGGUACUCGAGUGGCGAACGGGUGAGUAACACGUGGGUGAUCUGCCCUGCACUUCGGGAUAAGCCUGGGAAACUGGGUCUAAUACCGGAUAUGACCUUCCAUGUAGUGUGGGGGGUGGAAAGAUUUAUCGGUGUGGGAUGAGCCCGCGGCCUAUCAGCUUGUUGGUGGGGUAAUGGCCUACCAAGGCGUCGACGGGUAGCCGGCCUGAGAGGGUGGACGGCCACAUUGGGACUGAGAUACGGCCCAGACUCCUACGGGAGGCAGCAGUGGGGAAUAUUGCACAAUGGGCGGAAGCCUGAUGCAGCGACGCCGCGUGGGGGAUGACGGCCUUCGGGUUGUAAACCUCUUUCGACAGGGACGAAGCUUCGGUGACGGUACCUGUGUAAGAAGCACCGGCUAACUACGUG